rnacentral:rRNA from 1 species
GACGAACGCUGGCGGCGUGGAUUAGGCAUGCAAGUCGAACGGUAUCAUCCUUUCGGGGGUGAGAGAGUGGCGAACUGGUGAGUAACACGUAGGUUAUCUACCCUCAAGACGGGGACAACCCAGGGAAACUUGGGCUAAUACCGGAUGUGAGCAACUUUUAGUUGUUUGAAAGGUGGCGUAAGCUGUCGCUUGGGGAUGAGCCUGCGUCCUAUUAGUUAGUUGGUGAGGUAACGGCUCACCUAGGCAAUGAUAGGUAGGCGGCCUUAACGGGUGGUCGCCCACACUGGGGAUUGAGAUACGGCCCAGACUCCUGCGGGAGGCAGCAGUCGAGAAUAGUCUACAAUGGUCGGAAGACUGAUAGUGCGACGCCGCGUGAACGAUGAAUCCCUUCGGGGUGUAAAGUUCUUUUAUAUGUGAGCAGUGCUUCUUAUAUUAACAGUAUGGGGAGAGAGAUAUUAGCAUAUGAAUAAGCAACGGCUAACUCCGUGCCAGCAGCCGCGGU